GUGCUGGCUUCGGCAGCACAUGUACUAAAAGUUGGAACGAUACAGAGAUUAGCAUGGCCCCUAUGCAAAGAUGACACGUAAAUUCGUGAAGUGUUCUGUAUUUAA